rnacentral:rRNA from 1 species
ACGGAGGAUCCGAGCGUUAUCCGGAUUUACUGGGUUUAAAGGGUGCGUAGGCGGGCCCCUCAGUCAGCGGUGAAAGUCUGCGGCUCAACCGUAGGAUUGCCGUUGAUACUGGGUGGCUUGAGUUCGGGAGAGGCGGUCGGAAUGCGCGGUGUAGCGGUGAAAUGCGUAGAGAUCGGGAGGAACACCGGUGGCGAAGGCGGGUAACGGGGCUGAAACCGACGCUGAGGCGCGAAAGCGUGGGGAGCAAACAG